UUCUUCUUCUUCAUUCUUCUUUAUUUUUCUCUUCUUUUCUUCCUCGACUCUUUUUCUUCUCUGUCCGUAGCCUCUGGUAAUUUGAAGAGUGAAACGAUGGUUCUGUGAUCAGUAUAAGGUGGGUAAGAUCAUUCAGUAGUCGAUGGUGAUGGUGAUGGUGUAUGUAAUCGAUUCAGAAUAGAAAGAGAAAGUAAAUUAGUAAGAGUAGAAUUAGGGUUUCUCUGAGAGUUGUGUAGAAGUUCGAUUGAUGAUGCAUAAGGAAGAAUUAGAAGAUGGAUUUGUUCUUAAUUGAUGUUUGAUGGAAUUUGUGGGUUGUUUGAGGAUUGAAUCAGUAUGUUAAGGUUUUUCAGAGAAUUUAAUUGGUGUUCAUUUUGGUGACCAGUAUGAGAAAUUGAAGGAUGGGUGUUGAAGAACAUGACGUGAAUAAGGAGGUGAUGGUUUUAAUCUGAUGAUUUCAUGUUCAGAAUAUCAAUAAUAGGGAUUCUUGAUAAAACAGAGACUUAGGGUUUGUGAGUUUGAAUAUUGGUUAAGAAAGAUGGAAUUAGCGGUGAAUCAAAUCAAAAUGAGAAGCAGAACCCGAUUCAGUUGCUUGAGGAAUGUAUCUUGAGGUAUUUACUCUUCUGUUUUGAUUAGUGAAGUUAUUUAGUUUUAUCGACUGAGUAUUUGAUGAUUGAAUUGAGGUCUGAGUUGGGUAUUAUGAAUUGUUGGUGUUGAAAUUGUUUAGAUAGACUAAAUGAAUGUUGUUUGAGUCUGAUGUUGAGAAGGAUUGGCUUUGUGUUGCUAUAAAUAUUAUGGGAAAGGUGUUAGUGGAAAUCAAGAAGGGUGAAGAGCUUGUUAUUGAACUGAGUAGAUACAAAUAGUGAUGAAUGAGUUGUGCAGGUGAAAGGAGAUGCUGAUGUUGUUAUUCUAAACUGAAUUAUGAGUUGUAGUUUAUAUGAAUGAUCUAGGUGGAUGUGAGAUUGAUUUGAGUAUUGUUGUUGUGGUUAUGAGUAUCUGGUGGUGGUAUAAUUGCAGUUAGUAGUAUUGAAAGAUAGUUAGGAUGAGUUAUUGUUGAUCUGGGAUGGAGAUGUAGUAGUUUGAGCUGGUGGUGUUAUGUUGAAGCUAAAUUAUAGUUAAGGUGGAGAUAUAAUAUUUAUGGAAUUAGUGUUGGAGUUAUUGGUGGUGUUGGAGGUCUGUGUAUUGAGAUUGCAGGUGAUGGUUCAGUACAAGUACUAGAACUGAAGUCGCAGGUGGUGUUGUUUUAGGUGAGUACAUGAUUUUGGAGUUGUUAUUGAAAUGGUAGAAGUUGAGUCUAACUGAACAGUGGUGAAGAUAAGAGUUAUAGUCUGAGUUGGUGGCAGUAUUGCUAUGUUGUUUGUGUGAUUUUGCCUGAGUUACAGGAAUGAAGGUUAGAUGAAUGUAUGAGUUGAAUCUCUCCAAGGGAAAGCUUGUAACUGCAAUUGCAGUUAGUCUAUAUUAACAACGAUCGAUUCAAAGGAUGAACCAGUGGAUCAUGGAUCUCGAGGUAGGCGUGGCUCGUCAUCAAAAGAGUUUCAGAGUCAGAUCAGAGUUGCGCAACGAAAGCUUCGAGGAGUUGAGUCCAUUAUUUGGUUAACUUCUAAUAUGUUUAUUAUGUUUUAUAUUCCAUUUGUAAACCAUAUAACUAUUUUAUAUGUAUCAUUUGCGAGGAGUUCUUGUAUAUGUAUAUAUUUCAGAGCGGGGCUAGUUUUGGGUUAAGUUUUGUAGCAGAUUUCUUAAUUGAAUG